CUGCAACCUAUGAGGCACCUUUGAACCCCUGAGCUCAGGGUGCCAGAGUUGCUAGAGUUCUCUGAAUGGGCAGAAAGAGAUGAGGACCAGAUCACUGGUUGGUUACUACUGAGAAGAGGAGAAAGUUGCUGAGAAAUUUUAGCAAAUCGUAAGGAAGGAGCAGGUGUGGCACCUGAACGCUGUUAAGACGACGAUGGCUAUUAAACGCAAGUUCAGCACUCUCUCCUGGUACUACUGGCAAUACCAGCUGAUCACGAUGGCUUAUCUCAUGGAUCCUUUUGAAUGGUGGGUCUUCCACAGUUUGCUCCUUGUUUGCAUUAUGGGGUCGGCCUACAUUUUUUAUGCCGUUGUUCCUCCUCAGAUUCGCCUGGUUCUGGAGCUCAUUUAUCAUGUGUUUGGCUUGCAGCCAGAAAGCACCAUUCCAGCCAUGAUGUGAACUUGCAAUGCACAAUAGUGACUGUUCCC